ACAAACUUGGUCAUUUAGAGGAAGUAAAAGUCGUAACAAGGUCUCCGUUGGUGAACCAGCGGAGGGAUCAUUAUAGAGUUCUAAAAAACUCCAAACCCCAUGUGAACAUACCUAUCGUUGCCUCGGUAGGCGGCGUCGACCACGCCGGAGCGUGUGUGCCUGGCACGCAUGCCCCCGGUGCGGGUUUGCGACCCUGCCGAAGGCCCCCCUAAACUCUGUUUCUAUAGUAUCAUAUUCUGAAUUAUCAUAACUAAAUCAGUUAAAACUUUCAACAACGGAUCUCUUGGUUCUGGCAUCGAUGAAGAACGCAGC
rnacentral:misc_RNA from 1 species